UCUCUCUCUCUCUCUCUCUUCUUUCUCUCCGCCAUGGAGGUGGGACGGCGACGAGGGGCCAUCGACGACAAGGAGAGGCCGACGGCGGAAACCCCGCCCAAAACAAGGGAUAUAUGGACUGCAGGUUCAAAAUACUUUACUGAGUUCAGCUCAGCCUUAAUUGCCACUUUCCAUCUCACCUAGUCCGAGUGUUUCAAGCACUCUGUUACCGACUUAGGUUCUGGAUCCAGAUUAUUUUCGAAAAUAGAUCAAAACUAGGGUUUCUGAGGGGGAAUCUUGCCGUAGAGGAGAGCAGAGAGAGGAGAAUCAGCUUCAGCCAUGGAAUGAGCUUCAGAUGGCUAAGAGGCUUCGAUUAUCUCCUUCAAAUUCUCAAGAUCUCAAAGCAAGAUAAGUGGAGAGAGAUCGAAGCUGAAUUGGAUCGGUCCCCUUUUUAUAGAGAGGCCCGGAGGCUGGAAAAGAUUUCGAGUUAAAUGUUUAAUGUUGAUGGGUUUGUGGAUCCGCUAUAUUUGGGCCUACUUUUCGGGCCUGGCCUUUAAUUGGGACAAAUUCGGAGUUUAAAGUACUUGGCAUGAUAUGCUAAUACAAGCUGCUCUAUGCGGUGCGUCGCGUGCAUGUCUUAAGGUAAUAAAAAACACUUUGGUUAGAAAAUAUGGGGAUUGAGUAACGAGGACGUGUUUAGAGUUCUGACUUUCUGCUGAAGCUCUUGACACUACUAGAAAAAUAAAGAUUCUCGACGGAUCAAAUUAGACGGACAAAUUUCUAUCUAGUUUGAAUCAAACUAGACAGUCAUUUUUUCGUAUAGAUAAUUCCGUCUUGGUUGGCUCAAUCUAGAUGGAAAAUUCCGUCUAGAUUGAAAACCUAGACGGAAAUUUUAAAUUAAUUAAAUAUUAGUGUGGGCCCGCCAUCCAAGACGGAAUUUCUACAUACCGUAAGUUUGUAAUACAAGCACGUCCUUUUGAAAUAUGAUUUCAUAUUGUACUUCAUGUAAAUUGAAAUAUAAUUCAAUUUUGUGUGUCCCCGAACAAACUUUGUCUAUAUGUAUAUCAGACAUGAGAAAUAUAUUGUAAACACAGCAAAAUCAAUUUGUGCAAAAUUUUA